GGUAAAAUGGCUGAAUUAUAAGCGAUAAACUGUAAAUUUAUUAAUGAAUUAUAAAAUUCUUUUACCA
rnacentral:tRNA from 1 species